rnacentral:rRNA from 1 species
GUGCCAGCAGCCGCGGUAAUACGUAGGGUGCGAGCGUUAAUCGGAAUUACUGGGCGUAAAGCGUGCGCAGGCGGCUUUGCAAGACAGAGGUGAAAUCCCCGGGCUCAACCUGGGAACUGCCUUUGUGACUGCAAGGCUAGAGUACGGCAGAGGGGGAUGGAAUUCCGCGUGUAGCAGUGAAAUGCGUAGAUAUGCGGAGGAACACCGAUGGCGAAGGCAAUCCCCUGGGCCUGUACCGACGCUCAUGCACGAAAGCGUGGGGAGCAAACAGGAUUAGAUAC